rnacentral:lncRNA from 1 species
CUCCAAAUAUGGGUGCAAGUUUAUGAGGAACAGACACCUACAAGAGGCACCUGCACCCAUACUUGAAGCUAUGCUGCUCUGAAGCCUGAAGGAGUUCUUGAGGUCCAGAAGGAAAUUCUGUAGCAGAAAAAAGGCCAUUUCUACAAGAUGCACGUGGCCAGCAGGGGCAGGAGAUCAUCUUUCUGAGCUCCAUAAUGAGCAAGUUCUAGGAAAAAACAAGCCAUCUGGAGAAUAAGUUCACCUCAAGUUUGUCAUAUUGGAUGAGAUCCUAAGACUCAGCAAAGACACUAUAGAGCUCUUGUGGGAUGUGCCCAAGCUGAAUGAUGAAAUAUCCCAGGAAAACACAUACCUACACAGGGGGAUCCUAAGAUUCUAAGACCCUAGAGACUUUAAAGGGCAAAGAAUUUCUGGUGGGACACCAGGACACCACCUGUCACAACUAUUCCAUGAGUGAUCUACUCUUCAGCGGUUCAUCUAAAACAUCAAAGUAUGGGCCUCAUUUACCAACUCCAGUGACAGAAUACACUAGAAGAAAUGCUAGUAUGAUGAUGAAGCUUUGCAUCCAGAGACCAAAUCCUAGAGUGGCUCUGCAGAUGAUAUCAUCAUUAUCUGGGACAUCCAGAGCCUGAAUAAGGUGAACACAGUUAGCACAUAUGGCAGUCUUACGUUCACACAGGUCUCUGCACACAAUGCUGUUGAGUGGGUUCCAAAAGACCAAAAAUUCUGGAAUAUUAUGAAUACCAAUGUGGAGCUAAAGGAGUUGAACAGCCUCCAGCAGUAAGCUCAGGACCCAGUGGUGCCCCACAGCAGCAUGAACAGUGGCUCCUACAAGACCAUCAAGAUCUGAAACACCCAGACCCUCAACUGCUUGCAUGUCCUGCAGACGUCCAGCUGCAAGAUCUACACCAUCACCAUCACAAACCAUUGCCAUCCACAUGUGAAUCAUCAAACACAAGGAGAAGGUGCAGAACUGAUAGCCAGUAGGGCACUAUAUAUGACUUGAUAGUCAUCUCCAUUCCAGAACAGACCAAAGACUUCUAUAUGUGGCACCUCUGCCCCUGGGACCUGGAACAGGAACAGCCAGAUCUGCACAC